CUAUAGCACAAUUGCAAGACCAGGUAAUGUAGAAUUGUACUGUAGCUCAAUUGUAAAACCAAAAAUAUUAUUUUAUUCUUUUUCUCUCUCCACUCUGUCUCCUUGACUCUCCCACUCUCUCAGGUCUGUCUCCCAUGUCUCUCUCUCUCUCUUUCUCAGGUUUCUCCCUCUCCCUUUGCUUUCUCUCAAUGAUUUCUCCAUCUCCCUUUGCUCUCCCUCAGGCCACCAUUGGCCACCAUCGCCCAACAACACCAAGCCCAGGCUGCAUCUCACCCAGCGAUGCCCAAACCCAGGCUGCCGUUGGCCACUGUCUCACCCGGUGUGGUCUGAUGGUUCUCUCACAGUGAUCGGCAUGGUGUGGAGGUUUGUACUUGGGUUGUUCGUAGAGGAGAUCGUGGCAGAUCAUGGGUCUCUCUUCGAUCUAGUGGGUUUAUUGAUGGGUUUGUUAUGGGUCUCUCUUUGAUCUUGUGGGUUUAUGGUUGGUUAGUGGUGGAGAUCGUGGCAGAUCGGUGGUGGGUUUCUUUGGAGGUGUGGGUUAUUAUGAGUAGGUUUCUUUGGCGGCGUGGUUUAAGUGGUGAGUUUUGUUUGGUGUGAGUCAGGUGGGUUAUGGUUUGGAGAUUGCUGUUCGGCAUGGUAGAAAUUGGCAUGGAGCUGUGAGCAUUAACAGUAGAUUGGAUCGAAGGGGAGGUAGAGAAGCGCCAAGCCACAAAUGGGGAGAGAGAGAUGAGAGAGGGAGACUGAUAGUGAAAAUGUAAGGUAUGGAUUGAUGAGUUUUGUGUGUGUUUUGCAGUGAGGCAUGUUUCGGUAAGUUUGUAUCUGAUGAUUUUGUAUCGAUGGUUUUUUUUUUUGGGUUAGUCCAGCAGUGGUGGCUCUGGGUUUGGCCAUGGGUUUGGCCGUGGAUAUGGGUAUGGUCGUGGGUAUGGGAAUGACUGUGGCUUUUUUUUUUUUUUCCUGUUGGUGGUGGUGGUGGUGGUGGUGGUGAUUUUUGGUGGUAGGUGGAUGAGAAAGAGAGAAAAAUAGAGAGACGAAGAACAAAGAUGAAGAGGAAGAGAGAAGAGAGAGAGAUUUUUUAUAUUAUUUUAUUAUGUAAUUUAUAUUAUUUUAAUAUAUUGUAAGUAAAAAUAAAAGUUGGGAUGUUGGGUUUAUUGUAAAAUGAUAUUGUAUAAUUGAUAAAGUAGCUUUUUGGGAUUACAAAAUAGGAUAGGAUAGGAUUUGAAUUCUCUAAUGCUUUAAGGAAGAGCAGAAGAAAAAAGAAAUUGGCUAAACCAAAGUUAAGGCAAGUGGGUUGCAUUUAUUGUGAAUUGAUGUCAAGAGUGUAAAAGGAAGAAAAGAAUGAAAAGAUUUAGAAAUAAAAGGAGAGGCCAUUCGGCCAGUGAGUAAGUGGAGAAGUCCGAGAGAAUGCGAUUGAGGACAGUGCAGUCUUGAAAAACUACUUGAGUGAGAGCAAGCAAAAGAGAAGAGAAAAAAAUAGAGAGCAAGAGAAAAUUGUGAGAGAGACACAGUGAGAAAGAGAGCAGUGAGUGAAGAGAAAAAGAGAGUUUUUUUGCUCAAGUUAUAUCUUUAAGUGUUAUAAUCUCUAUUUAAUAUAGUGAAAUUAUUUGAAAUUUGUCCAGUAA